UACGGAGGGUGCAAGCGUUAUCCGGAUUCACUGGGUUUAAAGGGUGCGUAGGCGGUCGGGUAAGUCUGAUGUGAAAUCUCACAGCUUAACUGUGAAACUGCAUUGGAUACUAUCCGGCUAGAGGAAUGGAGGGGAGACUGGGAUACUUGGUGUAGCAGUGAAAUGCGUAGAUAUCAAGUGGAACACCAGUGGCGAAGGCGAGUCUCUGGACAUUUCCUGACGCUGAGGCACGAAAGCCAGGGGAGCAAACGGG
rnacentral:rRNA from 1 species